UCCUGCAGCCAUGAGCGCUGCCUGCGCAGGGCAGGGACGCAGGAGGGUGGCACAGGGCAUGGAUCUCAUGGAGCUUUCUGCUUUUUUCCCCGCUUCUCAGUGCGUGUUCAAGAGUGGGAGCAUGGGAGGAAGGCGAGCGCUGCUGCGCAUCGAGGAUCAGUGCUACUAUCAACCAUUUGGUCAUGGGAGAAGAGAAAAUACGUGAAAGGAAAAAGCCAGAACACAGGAGCAGUUCUGCUGAACCACUCACUGAGGAAACUGGAACACCUCUUACCAUGCUGAUUCUGUUGGCGAUGCUGAAGUGAGAUGCUACCAACAAAGAUGAAUUCCUACAGCUGAGCACAACCUGUACUUACCUGUCCCACCUCCUGCAGCACGGAUUUUGGCUCUGAUGGCAGCAGGAGGUGACCUGGGGGGCAGGGCAGUGGAGAGCCCUUCCCUGCAUCACUGCUGAAGAACGCCAGCAGCACUUCUGUGUGCUGAGCAUGGCUCGUCUCCAGCACUGACAAACACCAGGCCAUUACCAGCCGUCCUGUCGCUGACAUGGCAGGCACUUCUUCAUUCUUUAAGGUGUGGAUUUCUGCCUAGACCUGCUGUACCUGUUCAGGUGCUGAAGUGCCAUUAUCUAAUGAUAUACCACGGGCUGUUUGCAGCGUUUUAUUUGUUUUUGCUUUAAUUUGAAGUUAUGGAGAGCUGCCCUUUGAACUGUCCUCACCCUCCUGUCGAUUUGUGCAUUGAAGGGAAUUUCAGCUCUGGGCCACAUGGCACCAAGAGAACACCUGCAAUUAAUAACACUGCAUUCAGAAACCUGCACAGAGCAACAAGCACUUGGAUGGCUCGUGUUCUAACCCCCCACCUUCCACAGGAUGCAAUGAAAAUUACUGUGAAUGCCUCACUAGUGGCUGCAACAUGCGCUAAACCAACCGGCUGCUGGCAGGUGCUCUUCCUUGCUCUGAACAUUGUGUGAAAAUGCUAAUAACCCCACCUAUUCUUCAGAGCAAAACCUCACUCACUCACACUCUUACUCAAUUGCCUCCAUGGCAACUGCACACAAGUGGGCACAGCUCACAGGUGCUUCCCAGUGCAGUGCCAGAUAGCCAGCAGCACUGGCACAAGUGGGAGCAUUUGCAUUUAGCCGUGUGCUGCAUCCCACUACACUGACAGCUGCUAUUUGCUCAAGCUGUUUUCCUUCAUGAGGGUUCCCCUGUUGCAGAUUGAUGAAUUGGAAGCCUUUUCUUCAAUGACAUUCAAGUUAAAUUCCUCUUUAGCAUCAGUCCAUCACAAGGAAGCACCAAAUGCUGCCCCACACAGCUCUCACAGUGAAACCUACCAGUGAAACUUUGUCCUGAGCAAUGGAGAGAUGGUUUCCAGAUGCACAACCAGUAACUGAAUCACCAUUUGCCACUCAAGUUUUGUUACAGGGUUACCGAUCAGCUAUCAAAGGGCCUUACUUCCUGAGAAACAACUCCAGCAGUCUGCAGGUACAGAGAAAACUGUAUCCGAACAGUUCAGAAAUGUUUGCUACCCCUAAAAAUGAUGUUUCAGAACACCUUGUAAUAAAUCAAAAAACCUUUAUUUUUAAGUUAUAUUAUAAAUUUACAGCACACACAACAUCAGUGUCUUUAGUGUGUAUGUGUGAGCAGGCUUAAAGACUCAGCAUUCAUUCCAGUCUUGCUCAUGGGUAUGACUUCUCCACCUGCUAAAGGUACGUAACUGUUCCAAUCUGAACAGGUCUGGCUCAGCUCAAGACCUCAAUAACCUCUAGGAAAACACUUCAGUGGACAACAGCAAACGUUAAGAAGAAAAACAAGUCAGUAGCACUUCUUCCUUGCUGUCUGAAGGGCUCCGUGUUGGAGCGAAGCCGGGCUCCCCAGGCAGGGAGAAGUCAGUGACCCACAUCAGUGUGGCCAGAAUGAACCCUGAAUUCCACAGGCUCAGUGAUGUCCGCCCUAGUUAAGCUUCAUAAAAGUAAUGUUACAUCUUGGAAACAGCUGUGCAUGCCACACACCAGUGUCAGCUUCAUAUAAAAAUUAUCAUAUGCCAUACCUCAUGAUUUUAUACACAGGUGAAAUCGCGAUACAAUUUUACUGGUGCUACUUUGUGGUAAGUGCUGAAUGGCAAAUCACAUUCUUGUACAGGUUGUUAAAUUACAAUACAAAUCUGCAAGUUAAAGAUCUCUACAGGCCUCUGUUAUCCACUGCAAAGACACUUUGUUCUGUGGGGCUUCAUUUAAAACAUGAUUCCAUUUUUUCCCUCUCCCCAGAACACGAUAUAAAAUUAUACCUAAAUCCAGAAAUCAUUUAAUGCAUCUGUAUUUAUUGAAGUUCACAUGCUGCAAACAGGAUCUGCAUUGAAGAUCUUUAAAUCUAGGAAAAAAGGCCCUUCAAACCCCCUUUCGUUAUCAGGAUGCAGGUGGGAACGACUGCCAUGAGAACACAUUCACACAGGCACCAUGUGCACUGCUUGCUCCUUCCUCUGCAGCACUGGGGCUGCCAUCCUGGCCAAGCUCACUGACUGCCCUAAUUCUGACAGCAAACCAAUUGUCCCAGAGGAGAGGACACAGUCAGUGGUCUGCUCAUGCCUUAAAGCAUGAUGACUUACAACUGGAUGGAAAGAUCCAGCUCCAAGUGCUGCUAUUCUGCCAGUUAAUAAAAACGCUACUUACUGCAAGUAGAAAAAUGGGGGAGAACUUUGGAAACACUCACUGUACUUCAAGAAAAUUGCUGCUGAAGUCACUGGGAACCUCCUUAUCCCCCCUACAGGCAACGCUUGCUGACAGUGUUACAAUACAUUCCUUUGGUGCAAUGCUUAUUCAAACAACUUGCAAAAUAUAUUCGAGGUCCUCAGUGCGUGAAUCACAAUGUCCAAAACCUAACAGUCUCAAGUACAAAGGAUUCCUAUCACCACCCAAACGUCUUGGAUAUGAACAUCAGUUUUCAAAAGACAAGUUGGUUCCAGGAGAGGGAGGAGAGAAAUGGGGGUCAAGGUUCUGGGACACAUGUGGGACAGGCUGGGAGCAGCCCAAAGCAGCAAUUAGCAGCAGCUUUCACAGCUCUUGCAGGAGCGAACCUUGCACUUUCCCAGAAGAGCAGGAAUGCAGUGAUGACUGCUUUGGAAACAGCACAAGUUUAUUCUCCAGCUGCACGGAGAACAGAGGUGUCCUUGAAAUGAUGGUAAAGAUCAGCAAACCGUGCAAGGAUGAUCUGGUGUGGCCAUUUCCAUACAGUGAUGCAGCAAUCUUAAAGGAAGACUCACGCCACUGCUCACACUGAGAAAAGAAUGGCAUUUUCUUUGGACUGUUCCUAGAGGUUUACAGGAGCAUUACGCUAUCUCAGGCUCACAGAUCACAACUGACCAAGGUCCAAGCUGCAAAGUGGCCACUGGCAUUUUUUCCAAGUACAUCCCUUUAAGUGCACCCCCAUCGAGGAUAAACACGAAGCCCUGAGAACAAACUUCCACACAAUACAUUUCUAUUAAAAAUAUCAGUGUUUUGAUGACAAAAUUAUAAAUUAUAUCUAUUUAAAUAAAUAGCUACCUAGCUUUCAAGAGUCGUGUAAUAUCAAAAGGCAGAAGAUUGUCUUGAUCAAUGGAUAGGGGAAAGAGCUAGGAGAGUUGUAAGGAAAAGACACUGCAUUGCAGGAACCACCUACCGUUCCAUUUCCUUAUUUCUCCUUGAUUUCACAGGCUUCCAAUCGUUCCUUUGGCUGUUAUGUGACACUUACACAUGGCAUAUCUUCACUAGUUACAACGUGAACACCAGAGAUGCAAGCACAGGACCUGAACCUGUAAAUCCUUACUCCCACGAGUAGUUCUUCAUGAAAUUAACUUAUUUAUUAGAACAAAAACUUCUAUUCCAAUAUGCUUAGGGACCUCUCGCUUACAGAGCAGAUCCAUCAGCCUCUUAUCCUUUAGCCACAGAACAGGCAGGUUUGUGCCCAGGAAGCACUCUUGAUACAGAGACUCCUCUGGCCUGGAGAUCUGCCUCCACACACUCUAACUAACAAGCAGUGAUCAAGAUUUUUGCAGAUUUUGUAAAAAUUGGGACAAAUCAAUGCUUCUACAAGCAUAAUCAACUUGCAGCCAUCCUCCCACUGGUAACUCAUCAAGCAGCAAUACACCCAGUUGUCACAGGGACACACAGCUCCUCAAGCCUGCUGCCAAUUCAUACCCACAGAACAAUGCUGGUGUCUUGAUUAGCUCCUCAAAGGGUUUGUUCAACCUUAAGGGCAGUUUUGGCUUCCUUUAGUUCAACUCUUAAGCCUUGCUGCAAACCUCACACCUCCUAAGUCCUGGCCUCUUUCAGAGACUGGCCACUGGACCCCUCCAACCCCUCCAACAUUUCAGCUGCACAAGCUUUGAGCUCUGAAAUAAGCAAAGCCAGAAACAACCACAGAUUCUCAAGCCUUCACGCAUUUUAAAGAUGCAGUAUUCCUUUAUCCACACAGUUUCUAACUGCUGCUACAGCACCAGGUGAUGUUGUUGAACCCUGGCAUCCUUACCUUCACCUAUUACACGUGCAUUCCUUGUUUUACUCAUACUCUCUUCCUUAUAAGCCAGCAAUGGCUCUGACUCUGUUCUGGCAUACCAAGGGAGGCAACUCUGAUAACUUCUACCACUCCUACCAAACUGACACAGAGAACAAGCUCAACAGCAGAUCCUGGCAGUGCUGCACUCUGCAGAAAUGCACGAGUAGCAGAAUCUUCACGCUUAGGAGGAGCCACUCUGCUCCUGUGAAGGAGGUCGGACAGCAUUCAGCUUCAACCACACAAAAACCAGAGAGCCUGCUCAAAUUCAUCACCCACAGUGCCUUGGCAGUGGCAGCAGGCAGCCCCAGGAGCAGCUGGGUGUUGGAACAACCAACCUGAACAAACGCCUCUAUAAACCCUGGCAUUUCUAAACACAAAAGUAAAUAUUUCAGCAGUUGCGAACCAUAAAACUUAACAUGAAACUACAGAUAACAAAUUAAAAAAAAAAAUCCUGGGAUACUAAGUGAAGAUAAAAUCUCAUGCUGUUUUGUUUCCCCACCCUUCAUCUUAAUUAUGAGAAAUUGGCAACUUCAGUGCCUCGACUGCACAAUAGCACAGACGAGGUGCCAAGUUCAGGCCAAAACUUGUCAUAGGGUUUCAGGUUGCAUCUUGUAGCAAUUUCCUCCUUAAAACAAAAACAUACACUUAGAAAGGAACUUGGCAGAGCCAUCUGGGAUCUAUUUGACAGACACCUUUCAAAAAGAAAAAGGCUACACAACACAACUGCAGCAGGGAUUGUGAGAUGUCAGCUGCGUUUCACUGCCUUGCAAACAAAAGCCUGCAUGGCCCAACCACGAGAAAUGGGCUCAAUAUUCACCAGCGAGUUCUUUUCUUAAAAGCUCACAGCACCUGUCUGAAAUCUCCACUCUUCCAACAAAACUAAGAAAGACAUGGCCUGACUUUCUUGAUAUUUCCAAAGAGAAAGCGUUGAGGACAACCACUUCUAUGCCAAAGUAAUUAAUUUUGAGCGUGCUUUUAAGUAUGUUAAAAAAUAACACAAAACCCAAAGUGUUUCUGCUUCUUUGCAGAUCACCACUCAAGGGAAAUCCAUGCAAAUGAGUUGCUUUUUUUGUUAACAGUUUGAAACAGUCAACAGCACAAGUUCCCCUUUGCAAAACUGUGCACACAAAAAUGGAAAAAAAACCCACAUGAAAAUACCCCCCCUGCACGAAGAUAUG